rnacentral:rRNA from 1 species
UACGAAGGGGGCAAGCGUUGUUCGGAAUUACUGGGCGUAAAGGGCGCGUAGGCGGUGCACUAAGUCAGGCGUGAAAGCCCUGGGCUCAACCCGGGAAUUGCGCUUGAUACUGGUGCGCUUGAAUCCAGGAGAGGUUGGUGGAAUUCCCAGUGUAGAGGUGAAAUUCGUAGAGAUUGGGAAGAACACCGGUGGCGAAGGCGGCCAACUGGACUGGUAUUGACGCUGAGGCGCGAAAGCGUGGGGAGCGAACAGG